rnacentral:rRNA from 1 species
UACGGAGGGUGCGAGCGUUGUCCGGAAUCACUGGGCGUAAAGGGCGCGUAGGCGGCGCGGGGAGUCAACGGUGAAAGCUCGGCGCUCAACGCCGAGUCGGCCGUCGAUACUCCCGUGCUUGAGCACUGUAGAGGCAGGUGGAAUUCCGGGUGUAGCGGUGGAAUGCGUAGAGAUCCGGAAGAACACCGGUGGCGAAGGCGGCCUGACUGGGCAUGUAGCUGACGCUGAGGCGCGACAGCGUGGGGAGCAAACAGG